rnacentral:lncRNA from 1 species
GGGCGGAUGUGCAAUCUUCACCUGUUUAUUCGGUAGAGGGUGCCAUCUUCAGGUAGCCCUUCACGUUGUACAGAAAACAAUGGAGACUUCUCCUCCUGGGGCAGACAGAGUCUGGCUGGAGUGCAAUAACGCGAUCUCAGCUCACUGCAACCUCUGCCUCCUGGGUUCAAGUGAUUCUCCUGCCUCAGCCUCCCGAGUAGCUGGGACUACAGGUCUAUGUCCUUUCAUAUUCUCCAGUUUAAUCUCGCCUACAACUUUACUCCAGGCUCUAUGCUCCAGCCAUAAUCAAUUUAUGGGAAAACCAUCCUCUCUGGCAAACUUCUACUUAUCCUUCAAGAAGCAAUUCAACUAUCAUUCCUCUGUGAAGCCUAGGCAGUUAAUUACCCUUUCCUUUAUAUGCCUAAAUCAUUUUGUUCACUCCUGGGGUAGUGCUGAUUGCACUGUGAACUUGUGAGGCAGGAUACACUGUCUUAUUUACGUUUGUUGUGUUUCCUAACAGAGAACAGAUACUCAAUAUAUGAAUGAAUAAUCUUGUUU